UCAGAUGUAGGAAUUCUUACAGAAAUUGUAGACUGACUCAAACACAGUCCGAAUCACAACCUACACGCUGGGGUGCUGAGUCCCCUGAUCAAAACCUCCUGGCUCCGCCGACUCUUCCUCUACAACAUCAAUUACAAAUCACAAAUUAAAUCAUUUAAUAUUUAAAUAUUCUAAACCAUAAUUUACAUCUACUAUGGGGUCCAUCACCAGGUCCCCAAACAUCUCAACCCCUCCAGAUCUAGGGCAGUCGGGAUAGCCCGACUUCCACCUUGUACCGCCAGCCUACGUCAUCGCCAGGCAUAGCCGCAGCCACGCCGCGACGAUAAUCGGUCCCGGUGAAGAGACCAAAAGAAGGGGUGGAUGAGAGAGAAGGGUUCUUCCUCUACCUCUUCGGUCCAAGGGCAUCAGCCAGGGUGGCUGUGCCCUCACCUUCCCCACCCUCGGCCACCAUUGGCCGAACCAUCGCCGGCCGCCCCUGUUGCAGUCGCCGGCGAUGGUGGCUAGCCAAGAGAAAGAGAGAAGAAGAGGUCUCCUCCUCUUAUUCUUCUUUUCUCUUCUUCUCCUUCUUCUUCUUCUUCUUCUUCUCCCUCCCCUCCCAAAAUAUACACAGGGUCCCCUUUUUCCUCCCUUCCCUCUCCUCCGUCAUCAACAGAAGAACCACCAGGAUGGUGGCUCGGCCUUCACCCGACGGCGGCCACCUCACCGUCGUCGCCGGCCGGCGGCCAGCCGACGAGAGGAAGGAGAAAAAGAGAUGGGAUCGCGAGGAAGAUAACCUCGGAUCCACUACUCCCGAUCACCAACUAAGCUCGAAAAACCCUCUUCGACCCCUACACAACCCGGUCCACCCUACUGCCAUGAAUCCCGGCCAACUCGGCGGCCGGCGGCGGCAAAAUCUGGAGGAGAGGAGCCGAAACAGGGGUACCCUAUUUCGGAUCCUUCUUCGGUGAUUCCGUCGGCCAUAACCCAGGAAACCCAACCCAAAACCAGGCAAAUAAAAUGCAAAGGACGAAGCCAUGCUUACCUCGGUCCGGCGGGGUGCUCCGGCGGCCUUUCCGGCGACGAAAUCGGAGAGGAAUCUGUGAGCAACUCGGAAAAAAAAAUCCUCUCUUGUGGAGGGUCUUCACCGAAGGAAAGAAGAAGACUUGUCCCCCCCGCGGCCGGCCGGAUCUCCCUCUCCGGCGCUCGGUCUCCUCCGGCGAGUCGCCUCCCACCGAACGCCGCCGCCGCCCCUCUCUCCCGUGCCCC
rnacentral:lncRNA from 1 species